ensembl:lncRNA
CCGAGGCUGACUGCGUGCACUGUGACACCUGAGGCUGACUGCGUGCACUGUGACACCGAGGCUGACUGCGUGCACUGUGACACCGAGGCUGACUGCGUGCACUGUGACUCCCAGGUGUCCUUCCCUCUACUUGCCCUUGGGUUUGUCUGAUGACGGCACCAGCAGACAAUAAGUGGCUGAUCCGGGGUCAGAUGUGCAUUGAAGUCGUCAGCGUGUGGUACUGACGGAAGCUGUGGGUGUGACUGAGGCCUCUCAGGAGGGACUGGGCAGUGAGGGGACAAUAGGCACUGAACACUGGGGAGAGCAGUGUGGCUCCUCCCAGAUCGUCCCCAGGCCUGAGGCUGCAGGGCCUCCAGGCAUGUGACCCGUGCAGGCUCUGCCCAGAGAUGUGACAUGCUCAUACCCAUGCAGGGCACAGCGGCUCCUGGAGUUGAAGGCGCUGUGGACACCUGAGUGAGACCGGUUAGAAAUGCCUGCCCUGCCUGGAUCAUGCCACCACAUCAAGUGUGACCCUGAACCUGAUCAUCUCCGUUCUCCCUGGGGUGUUGUCCCCUGGGUCCUUGUCACCAGCAGCAUCAGCCUUGCCGGGGCUCAUUGGAAUACAGAACCUCAGGCUGGCCCCUGGACCUACUGGAUCAGAACCUGCAUUCUGAAAAGGUCCUGGUGAGUCACAGGCAGAGGAAAGCCUCAGGAGCACUCCCUGCGUGCAUCACAGAAGCCCCGCUCACCCUGAGGCCUCGGUGUGGGCUGUGGUGCCCACAGCUCCAGCUCUCUAGGAACCAAUUAGAACUCCUGGUCAAAGAUGUGGAAGGAACGGACUCUUCCUCCAGAAUCCCCGUGAGAGAGACAAGGAAUGGGCAUUAAACCAAGCUAAGGGGAGGGGGCCGUAACGAGGCUCUGGGAGCUCCUGGGAAACGGUGACCAGUGACCAGCUCAGUGAGGCUAGGACCCUCGCUGGCGAGAUGGGAGGAGUUUUCCUCUUGAAGAAUCUGGCCAGGCUGUGAAAGAAGCCCAAUGGACAUGGACAUGAGGGGUUUCCCAAGAGAAUGCCCUAACAAGGGUGCAUCACAGAGGGCACAUGGGACCUGAGCACGGAGCUUCCAACAAGCUUUUCCUUCCUGCGAUUUGAAGUCAGCACCCCCAGACAGAGGAAAAUACGGAACGUGACAGUAGCAGACAUGGUCCUAUGAAGAGAGAAGAAAAUGUCAAAAUCACAACUGUGAGCGUCCUCAAGGGGUGAAAGAGGACACUCCAGCAGAUAACAAGGAUAGGAUGCUAUUAAAAAGAGCAUGAAAAUGUGAUUAAAAACACAGAAGUCAUAAAAACUGUGGACUCGGAAGUAAGCAAAUGUCCCCGAACAGAGAGCAGGAGAGGUGUGGUGUCCUCGAUGCCCACAGCUCGGUUGUCCUCCGGGCUCUGCCUUCGCCACCAUCUGCCAUGUUGGUCUUCUCUGUCCCUGAUGGACCUCUGGCUCUGUGGGCCCCUUCUGCUCAGAUCACAGUGUGCAGUGCCCUCCAGGCGGUACCUCCCCCUCACCCUGGGGCCUCCUGUUCCCUGAACUCUUCCCUCCCACGUUAGAACCACUGUGUCCUUGGUGACAGCCCGGGGCUCUCAGAUGUUUGGAUCUAAGGGAAAAACUACUCCCUGGACCCUCCACAGGAAGGCUCCUCUUGGAUAACAAAGAGAAGCUGCCGUGGCCGCGCCCAGUGCCAGGCUGGGGUCCAGGGCCUUUGGUCUGGGGAGUGCGGGGUCCACGGCUGGCCUCUCUGAGUCUCCUGGGAGAGACUGCCCGGUGGAAUCUUGUGGCCAGUGUUGUUGGCCGGGCCUGCAUGCUAAGCUGCCCAGCACCGGGGUGGGAAUGUGGCUGCUGUGUGAUUUCUGCAGAGCAAAGAAGUACAGAAACAGCCUCCGUGAAUAAUUUAGUCAUCGCCCUGGUAGGCCAGUGAAUGGAGCCAGUACACACCUCUCUUUCCCUGCCUGCUGUUGACGAUCUCCUCCGCCCCCAGAGCCUGGAGGCCCGUUUCCUCCUCAUCUUGCCCAUCGGAGAAGAUCCACUCUGCUGCUCCAGGCAGACUUCUGGGCGUCCCUGGGACUCUGUCCAGCUGUGCAUCCUUCCUCUCCUGGCCAGAACGCAGGUCCCUCAGGAUGGCCCUGGCCCUGUGUCCACUGCCGUUCCUCCACGUCUGCCAUGCUGCUUGGCACACGGUAGGCGCUCGGGAGAGGCUGUCUGAGACCACAAGCAGAGAGGGAGAUCCGUGUUCAGAGAGGCUGUUUGUCACCAGUGGGGGUCGGCGUGGUCAGGACGGGCCGGCAGAGGACCUGCAGGACUGGACAGAGCGGACGGGUGUGGACAGCUCUCCUCCCCUCUGCUCAGGGUGCAUCGUAGUGCAGGCCGGCGUCCCGGGUGUGCUGCUCUCGCCUGUGGCCGGAGGGGGUGGGUUUGUGGGCCUGGAGGAGCUGGCGGGAGGCCCCAGUCUGGGUGGGACGAGCCCGGCAGGGCAAGACCAGAGUGGGUGGAGUUGGGGACUGGAGGGCUCCCUGCAUCCAGCCCUCUGCGUGCUCUCUGCCGGCAUCGGGGUGCACAAGCCCACCAGCUCCCCAGACACACAGGAGCACGCGUGUACACACUCAGACACACACACAGACACACAGGAGCACGCAUAUACACACACAGGCACACAUACAGACACACAGGAGCACAUGCACACAACCAUACACACAGGAGCACAUGUGUGCAUGUACGCACACACACUACAAAGACACAGGGGCACAUGCAUACACAUACACACACAUUCAGCAGCACAUUUGUCCACAUGUGCAUGGGAGCAUGCGUGCACACACAGGAGCACAUGUGCAUGCACACACAGGAGCUUGUGUGUACACACACAGGAGCACAGGUAUGUGCACACACGCGGGAGAACACACACACACAGUGCUGGAACACCAUCACCAGUGUGCUGUCUGCUCCCCCCCGUUGGAAGGCGCUGCCCGAGUUGUCCCACACCUCCCCCAUCAGCACACUUCGAGAAGCGGGUCCUGACCAGCUCCAGUCCAUUGCGGGAAGCAGCCCUCAGACACGGGGACAGCUGCGGGCUCAUGGUCCUGAGAACCUGGCUCUCCUGCCACUGGGAGGGCUCACGGAGGACGCCUGGAACCCCCUCCGUCACCUCUUCAGACAGUCAGGAGCCUGCUUUCCCCAAAACUGGAAGGUUGGAGCCAUAGGAAAUGUCCCCAUCAUAUCAGAAAACUGAGGACUCUGCAGAAUGUUCUGGAACCUUCAGUGAGUGGGAGCUGCUGAUGCUGGUGACGGAGACUGGACAGGCUGUGAGGGGAGCAUGGGGACCUAGAGAAGCUUUGGGGACACAUCGGCACAUUUACAAUUUGUGCCUAAAUUUGCUCCUCCUUGGAGACCUGGCCAGGCUCAGAGCGAUCAACAGACAGGACGCCUGUCGCCAGUCAGUCAAUCGCUUGAUCGCUGGAUGAGUCAGUGGAUCAAUGCGCCGACUGCCCUCUGAACCGAGGGUGUGUUUCCUGGGAUGGGAAGAUGGUGAGGAGGCCCGACGCGCCCUGUGCGCUCAGCGCCCUGCUCCCCCAGCCAGCGGCGGCCUGGUGAGCAGGUGGGAGCUGUGGGGGGGCAUCUGGGACCUGCUGCCCCCGGGGUUGCUGACCUGCAGGGCUCCUUUGUGAGGGGGAGAAAAUGCUCCCAGGAGGAGGAGGCCUCCUCAGGGCCCAGGCUGGCAUUUUGCCAGUGCGAGGUGUCUGGACGGAAACCUCUAGAGGGGAACUUCCCAGGUCAAAGGGCGUCUGCACACAGGGAUUAUCACAAAAGUGCCCCCGGGGGUUCCACCCACAGCCUUCCUCAGAGUCUGGGUUAGCGGAGCAGGCCCCUGGUCCUUGGAAUGAGAAACCCCAACUGAGUCGCCCCAUCCCUGCAUCUGGGGUGCGGCCUGUGGGAGGGGCUGGCGGGCAGCUGCGGGGUCCCUGGGGUCUGGCUGUUUCUCAGUCCCCUCCUCAUGCCCCCCACUGUCUGCCCCCCCUGAGGGCCUGGCCGCGAGGUGAAGGGUCCAGGGGUCACUUGAAGGGAGGGGCUGCAGCUGGGCCAUCCCAGGGGAGGGGGCCGAUUAUGAAAGGCCCUCAGAGAGCCACACAAGGCAGCCUUGUUGGGUAUGAGCUCCCCCCAAGCUCGGGCUUUCCUCCCCCGUGAGCAGGAAGGGGCGACCCAGACCGAGGUCAGAUGGCCUGCACUGUGUGGGGUCCCUGUGGUCUAUUUCCAGCUCCAGCCUCUGGCCCUGCACACACAGGGGCAUUAAAGGAAGCUGCUUGUAGCAUGAGACAUCCGCCCUGUGGUCCUUCCUGCAGCUGUGUCCUCACUAAGGGAAGGUGACCGAGCCCAGAGUGGGAGGGGUCGGAGGGCCCAGCUGUGAGUGUGGACCAGGCUGAGGCCUCAUCACCAGCCAGGAGGCUCCCUGGAGACCCUGGGGCCAGAAUGACCUCCCUCUACAACCUUCCCUGGCUCCCCAUUGCUGUGCAGGGGAGUCCAUGCUCCUCACCCAAGGUCCCCAUCAUAACCUCCAUCAGACGCGCCCCCACUCCUCCUGGGCUUCACCCUUGACCCCCACCCUCUGUCUCUGGGUUGAGACCAGGAGCCGCCCCAGGGCAGGGUCAGGAGUGACACCCUCUGAGCCUGGGUGUCCACAAGACUCUGCAGGCUGCACGUUCAGCAAACAUGGGCCCAGGGGUGCGCAGGGCGAGACGGCAAUGACACCUGACCCCAGCACACAGUGAGCCGGACGCCAUUGCAGCUGAGAGGUCAGAGUGCCUGGACCAUCGGGAUGUGGUGGAUGUCGGCUGGCCCUGAAGGUCAGCAGAGCACAGCCCAGGAGCAGACCCUGCCCCAAUGGCCCAAGUCUCACCCCCUCCAGGUGCCAGCAGGGUAGCCGGCCGGUCCCCAUGGCCUCUCUGGACCUGGCUUCCUCGUCUGGGCCGUGGGGAUGGAGUCGCAGCAGGCUGGCCUGGCACGGUUGUUUUGAGUAUGACUGAGCGAGCCCCUGGGACGCACGGCCCUCCUGUCACUAGAAGCUCCACGUGGUGCCAGGACUUCCCUUCCGGGAUCAGUAAGAGUAAUGACAAAUGCUCCCGCCUCCUCCCAGGGAGCAAACGAUCUCCAGGUCAUAAAGGGCAAGAGCAACAGGCCACACUCUGCGAAGACGACGCCUCCGAGAUCUAAAUCCACACUAUGGACAGUGGCCUCCGGGGUGUUGCCAUCCAGUCUCGGGAAUGAGAAGGAAGCCUCCAGACUCCGCGUGCAAACUCAGGAGGAGCAUCUCUGUGGCUUCAGCGGCUGAAGCACCCCUGCCUGAAAGCUCCCUGGUGUCAGACGCCCCGUGAGGGGAGGCGGGGACAGAGCCCACCCCUCUCGGGGUCUCUGGAAAGAGCAUCAUCUGCGGGAGCAUCCGCCAGCCCUGCCUCCGUGUCCUCCCUCCUGCUCCAGGGGCGACCCUCCUGGGAGCCUCACAGGGAAGGGCCAUGGCCAAAAUGAGGGAGGGGCCCAGGUGCCAGGUGUCUCCGCAGAGCCUGUCCCGGCGGAGGCCGCACCCCCCACCCCUGCCCUGAGACCACGGUAGUCACAGUGACCAUGGAUCCUCGCAGCUGCUGCCUCCAUCAGGGUCGGUGCGGGAACAAAGCACCCAGGGAUGCAGGUGGGGUGGGGCUUAAUGCAGGGAAUUGGGUGCUCACAGAGCUGGGGGGCAGGCUGAAGGAGUGGGGUGCCGGCUGAGCCCACAGGGACUACUCGGGGUCACGGCAGACCUGACGCCAGGGAGCCCCCUCUCCCAGGGCUGGAAUUAAAUGCAGACCCUCCUAGACCAGUGGGGUGGGCCCAGCCUUCUCCCUUCAUCUCCACCUGCUACCUGUUCUGAGCACUGUCCGUGUCCCUGAGUCACCUGGUGCAAGGAGGCCCCUGAGACAGACCCCGGACGAGGACGCCUCUGAGUCCAGCACGGUUGCCGGGACCGCUCCUCACAGGAGGCAGAACACGGGCCCUUCUCCUCCCCCCACAGCAGACCCCGAGAGCGGGGCGCCCUGAGGACCGGCUGGCCAGGCCCCUCCCUGGGGAAAGUGACCAGAGAAGCCGUGGCUGCCGCCCCCCAGGGCCCAAGAUGCCCUUUGAGCUUUCUCUCCUCAAGAGCCUGCGGCUCCAAAGGAAGAUGAUGCCAGACACGGCGCAUGGACGCACUACAGAUGCCCCCAUGGGGAGGAGAGCUGAGCUCACCUCCACUUCACGUGCAGGUCACUGCCCCCCACGUCCUGGGCCUGGGCCCCGUUUGUCUCCGGUCCCCGGGCUGCUCCAGCUCCUCUCAAGGAGCCAGGAGGAGAGGCUCAGCCCAGGACGCUUGCUGACUAAGGAGGCUGCGCUGUGCUGAGCUGUUUCAGGCCAGCUCCUGGGCUGCUGUGGGAUUCCUAGUCUGGAGGAGGAAAGGGUUAACUUUGUGGCAGCACAGGGAAGUUCUGGGAUCCACGAUGUUUUCCAAUUCUGUGUUUCUUCUGGUCAUUAAUUGGAUAGAAGUUGUUAAACUUGAUGAGGAAGCCAGAGAGAACGCAGGUUGACUGAAUCUCUGGGAGAUUAAGUUAAUUUUUCUCCUCCAAGAACUGCCGGAAGCUUCCACGUCGGUGCUGCUGAAAGAGAAAGGAACAGAAUGGUUCAGACAGGAUUGUCUCUUGUCUUCUGACGCCUGCAUUGUGGACGCAGUGGGCCUGUCUGCUCAGAGUGGGGGCUCCGGGGUCAGCCUGGCGGGGACCCCAGCUCGGGGACACAGGCCGUGUGGCCUUGGGCAGGUCCAAGCCUCAGUUUCCACUCGGGAGAAUGGGGUUGAGGACAGGGCGUGCUCUCCAGGGGCUCUGUGGGGAUCCAGGAGACGAUGCCCUGGGAGCAUGUGGCACCGGGGCCUGGCACAUCCCCAACCUGCUCUUGUCCCAGAAAUGACCUGGUGACAGAUCACCACUUUCCUAUUGAUGUGGCAUCAAUUCUUCCCACUGCCCUUCUGAUAAAGUCCUAAAUGUUUAACACACUGUGAAGACUCCCCAAAACAAGGCUAAAGACGUGCUGGGGGAACCAAACGUGGGAGGAUGAAAACAUCCAGGGGUCAGGAGGGCGCUUGUGUCUGGGGCUGGGAAAACCACCGUGCCUGGGGGAAACCAGAACCGGCUCCUGAGGUUAUUUUCGGCUGAGGAAUUGUUUUCAGCUUCAGCUGCACAUGGGUCCCCCUUCAGGUCAGACUGGCCCCUAGGAGCCUGCAUCUGGCCUGUGGGGUGGUCUCCUGACCCUGCAGGACCUGCCCCCACACCCGUAUCCCCUCUCCGUGCACCCGUGUCUCCGCCCCAGGAACCCCUCCUUCUCCUGCAAGCUGGCGCUCCCCCAGCCCCCCAGCCCCUCCCUUCCCUGGAAUGUUCCCCCUCCCCGAAGCCCCUUCCGUGGGCGAGUCCUGGGGGGCCCUGCCGCCCACUGCAGGCUCCCUGCCCUCUAACCAGCGCCCUUCACACUGUCUGCUCUGGGCCUCCACGGGACCGAGCGUCUGUCUCCCUCACAGGCUCAUCUCACAGCUGCAGGUCCAGGUUCUAGCUGAAAUUUAAAUAUGCUGGUGAAGAAUGUAAUACGGAAUUCCUCGUAUAUUGGUAAUAUUGACAUUUUAGAUAAAACUACUACAUCUCUCUCCUCAGUGUAUCCAGUGAGAUGCUGAGAACAUAGGGAUGGGCCAUCCAUUUAAAAUGACAUCAUCUGGUUAAAAUGACAGAACGGAAAUCGUGUUGUUCUUUCUUCUCCUCCCACUCACAUUUCACUGCCUCCCUCUUCUCGCCCCAGCGCCCUGCUGCUUGAGACGGUGAUAUUCAUCACUGGUUACGCUUCUCUGUAACAAAAUGCAUAUGCAUAUUUGAAGUUUAAGUAAAAUAAACUUUGUGUCUAAAAAGC